rnacentral:lncRNA from 1 species
CGCAGGAAUCUUGUAUUGUAUGGUUGGUCUCUCUGUCCGGCGGCAAUUUAUUGGGUUCAGCCAGUACAUCCCCAAACUAUUCUAGUAUUCCCGACAAUUCCGGCCACUCCUUGCGCUCCUUUGGAUCCUCUUCUUCGCAUCUCAAUUGACAAAAGAAAGCCACCUCGCCCCUCGACAUCAAUUUCCUCAGUCCAGAUUUCGAAAUUUCUGAAUCCACCAGAUGUGGAUCACCUUGGAGUCGAAUUUUUUUGUCGCCUUCCCAAUACUCCAUACUCAAUUCCUUGUGGCCCGUUGUGACCGGUCCCAGCCUACCCAGCCAUUGAAUACCUAGUACUACAUUCGCCCUACCCAUCGCCAGAACAAACAAAUCUUCGAUGAUGGUGGUGUUCUGUAUUGAAAUAGUCACCUGCCGGCAAACCUCUUUACACACCAAAUACUCCCCACUCCCGAUAAACACCUUAAAUGCUGGUAACUCCUGCAUUUCAUAUCCCAACCGAGUGGCCACCUCUGCUUGCACAAAGUUGUGGGUGCUCCCACUGUCGAUCAACACCGAUAGAGGCCUCCCCUGAAUCCAGCCCUUCAAACGUAUUGUUCUCGGAUUAAAUGUUCCUCAAAAGGUGUGGAGGCUAAUUUAUGUUAUUGUCACUGGGUCUUCUACCAUUUCCUCCCCCAUUUCUUCAUGCUGCUCAAUCAAUUCCACCUGGCAGUCUCGCUCGGCAUCCAUCCUGAAUAGCCGUCCUCUACACUUGUGCCCGGACGAGUAAGACUCAUCACAGUUAAAAUACAAGCCCUUGGUUGUGCGCUCGCGACAUUCCUCUGCGGUCAGCAUUUUCCGCACAAUCGGCACCCCCUUCGGCCCCGCUGGUAUUGUCUUAAUUAGUGGCUCUGAAUUUGCAUUUGAUAUCAUACCGCGACCCUUUCCCAUUCCACGAUUCUCCUCAUAAACUUUAGCCAGUGCAAAUGCCUUCCUCAGCGAGGUCGGCUCUCUAAUUUUUAGCUCUCCCUUCAAUUCCGCCUUUAGUCCUCCGAUAAAGAAACUUAUCAGAGCUGCUUCUGUCUAUCCCGACACCCCGUUCAGCAACUCCUCGAAUUGCUUCAGAUAAAAUGCUACCGAUGAUGUUUGCUGAAGGCGUGAGAGUUCUUGUAGCUUGUCGACGUAUGCCGAACCUCCAAAUCGUUUGCGCAAGUCCUCUGUGAAGCGUUCCCAAGUAGAAAGUAAUUUGUUCUGCCUCGAUCCCCGCAUCCACCCCAAUGCGCCCUUGGUCAUGUGAAACUCCGCGAUCUGGAUUCUUGAAUCAUCGAGUAUUCCAUGGAAUGUGAAGUAUUCCUCCGCCUGGAAGAUCCAUCCUUCAGGAUCGACCCCUGAAAACUUCGGUAGAUCCAACUUAAUUUGUUUCGAUGUCUUUAGAUCCAAUCUGUCUGGACUGUGAUUCAUCCCCAUCGACAUUUGCAUCUCCUUCAUCAACACAGUCAGAUCUCCAAUUUGAUCAGAUAUGCUCGCGAUUGCUGACUCAUGCUUCGACAAUCGGGAUGACUGAUCCGUAAUUACCUUUCCUAUCUCCUCUCGGACGUUUUCCAGUUCCGUCGAAUCGUGCAGAUUGUCGCUCGAUUCCGCUUUCUCUGUCAUUUCAUACAAUUAUCGAUUAAAAUUUUGAAAUCAAAGUUACAAGAUUAAGAUCUCUUGCUUUCCUAUUGCAGAUCCAGUUCAGGCCUGGAACGAGCCUUGACGAGUUUUAAAUUUUUAGAUUCGUUUCCGACUAUGAUCUUCCGCUUCUGGCGAAGAUCGUUCAUAAACGAUUGAAAGCACCAAUGUUACGUUGCCGUAACCGCGAGUUGAGACGAAGAACAGAAUUCUCCCGAUUGGGAGCCGGAGGUUGGGGAAGAACUCUCCCGAUUGGGAGCCGGAGGUUGGGGAAGAACUCUCCCGAGGGAGCCGGAGGUUGGGGAAGAACUCUCCCGAGGGAGCCGGAGUUGAGAGGAUUGGAAAUUGGGUUGAAAUUCGAUAAUCCCCAACAAGGAUCCCGCCUUGUAUUUAAACUAACUAUCCGCCAAUGUCUGAGUGAUACGUAGUUAUUCAUCCAUGACUAACUAACUAAUUGCUAAUUACAUCUUUUAUUUAAUAGCAAACAUAAUUCGGAUCCUUCGUCGAUUGCCGGAUUCUGUUAGAACGUUGUUGGGCACGAUCUCCCUGUUCCACUAACUCUAGAUCCUUCUGCAAUCGUUCCACCACGAAAUUUAGCUCUGACUGGACUGUUACAAUGCCCCCGACCUGUGAAUUGUGUAAUUCUUCCAUGAUCAUAAUUCGUAGAUUUGAUGCUGCUCCGAUACAAUAUCGAUUUUGGUAAAAUAGCAACUCGUUGAUGAUUUGGAACCCGGGUCGAAGUUCUUCCUUCUUGAAUCGGUCCCUUAAUUUUGUUAAAUCCGGAUCCGUUUCGUUCUCCACCUUUAAUUGCUCAAUCCAAGCUGGUAACGCCGCACUCACCAUCCCAAGGCAACAACUUCCCUCCUCAUCGUCUUCUAGGCUUCGUGAUAAAGCAUCAGCAAUGAUGUUUUCUUUACCUGUGAAGAAUAACUGCAAUCACACUUGAAAUAAAUAUCAAAUAUUUAAAUAACUGCAAUAAAAUUUAAUAAACUCCUAACUGCCAAAACAAAAAGAUAUUUUAUAUCUGAAAACUAUAAAAGCAAGGGAUAAUAAAGUUGGAGAACUACCGAGAUAUUUUACAUUUGUAAGUUUCUUUUUCUUCUGCCUUCGUUGAUCAUUUCUAGUGCUUGCGAUUCCUUAGGUUUGUCUUUGUUAAAGAUAUUCAUUUCCUGUUUCUUUUGUCACAUUACAGGUAUAUCUCUAGUCUACAUUCCAGAAUUUCAGUUCUUUUGAUUCAGUUUCUGUUCUUGCUAUUGACAUCAUAUUCAAUCAUCUUAACAUGUAUUUCAUGUCGGCGACGGCACUCUUGGAUGUGAAUGAAGGAGGAGUGGCCAUGGAGUCGUGAAAAGAAUGAUAGAAAAAGAAGAACAAGUGGUUGUAGAUGUAAUCGAGAUGAUUACAAAUGUUUAUUAUUGGGGUAUUUAUACACUUAUAAAAGGAAUCAAAUAACAACCAACUAAGUGGGUUGUUGUAACAAACUUAUUUACAACAGAAAUAAUAUUCUUCUAGUAGCUUCUAGAAGUUUCUUAUAGUGUAAUUCAAUAUUCCCCUUCAAACUAGUGUGGGAUCACACACACCUAGUUUGUCUUUAAUUUCCAGAUACCUUGAUGAUGAAAGCGGUUUGGUAAAC